rnacentral:rRNA from 1 species
AACGAACGCUGGCGGCAGGCCUAACACAUGCAAGUCGAGCGGACCCUUCGGGGUUAGCGGCGGACGGGUUAGUAACGCGUGGGAACGUGCCCAAAGGUACGGAAUAGCCUCGGGAAACUGAGAGUAAUACCGUAUGUGCCCCUCAGGGGAAAGGAUUUAUCGCCUUUGGUAUCGGCCCGCGUUGGAUUAGGUAGUUGGUGGGGUAGUGGCCUACCAAGCCGACGAUCCAUAGCUGGUUUGAGAGGAUGAUCAGCAACACUGGGACUGAGACACGGCCCAGACUCCUACGGGAGGCAGCAGU